AUGAGUGCAACAACAACAACAAAAAAAAACGUUAAGGGAAAUGAGGCUCCUCCGAUUUCUUUCCUUUUGUUACCUGCUCAUGGAAUAUUAGAAUCUCCGUCGUGUUGCAGAGAAGAAGAAAAAAGAAAAACAGCUUUGCAAUUUGGGUGGUAUCUUACUCUAAAAUACAAACCACAUCUUCAAGAAAGAUUCCGGAAUCUAGGACGUGGGUUGUGGGCGAAGAUGCCCCGAAGCCGCCGAAUUAUUUCUCAGGAUCCCCAUUUUUGCGGCAAUCAAUCGCAAAAGAAGUUGUACCCGAAGCUGAAAAAAAAAAACAAAAAGCAAAACCUUUUUUUGUGUCAUCCAUACCUGCUGUCUUGCAUCCUGAGGUCGGAAGUAACCGCUGCUACUGUGUCCUGGGUCCACGAGCCGCAGAAGAGGGGGGCAGACGCUGUCGCACGGAUGGCGGCGGAUCGCGCCCGGCUCAGAAGCUGCUGUCACCCCGACCUCCUCCUCCUAGGCCCGCAGGCAAAGGAGGGACACGAUGUCCCCAGUAGGCCCGACGGUCCGAAGCAGCGCCCCGGGAGCAGGGAGCGACCCCGGCCCAGGCCCCCUGAGUGCUGCUGCCGCCCUCCGGUGCGCGUCUGGGAGCUUGCCCGGGUCACAGCCCCGGGGACCGUGGCUCCUGCGAUGGCCGCUGGCCUCCUGGGGCUCCUACGGCUCAGCCGGUGGUGCUGCCCCACGUCGGAGAAAGGCCCUUAGGUCCUUAGGUCCUGUCAAUCAUACACCGUCAGGAUUGCCCGGGGCAUUAAAAUGUUAUGAUUUUAACGAAUUAAUAAAUUACGAUUGACUUAAUUGUUAAAUAAACA
rnacentral:lncRNA from 12 species